rnacentral:tRNA from 1 species
GUUUUAAUAAUUUAAUAAAAAUAUUGGUCUUGUAAAUCAAAAAUAGUUAACGCUUUAAAACU